rnacentral:rRNA from 1 species
UACAGAGGGUGCUAGCGUUGUUCGGAAUCAUUGGGCGUAAAGGGCGUGUAGGCGGUUUGUUAAGUCAUGUGUGAAAUCCCUCGGCUCAACCGGGGAACGACGCAUGAAACUGGCAAGCUAGAGUACCAAAGAGGGGGGUGGAAUUCCCGGUGUAGCGGUGAAAUGCGUAGAUAUCGAGAGGAACACCUGCGGCGAAGGCGGGUUGCUGGGCUGACACUGACGCUGAGGCGCGAAAGCUAGGGGAGCGAACGGG